GACGAGCGCUGGCGGCGUGCCUAAUACAUGCAAGCCGAACGAACGGAUUGAGGAGCUUGCUCUUCAUGAAGUUAGUGGCGGACGGGUGAGUAACACGUGGGAAACCUGCCCAUAAGUGGGGGAUAACAUUCGGAAACGGAUGCUAAUACCGCAUACAUUAAGACUCCGCAUGGAGUCCUAAUAAAAGACGGCUUUGGCUGUCGCUUAUGGAUGGUCCCGCGGCGUAUUAGUUAGUUGGUGAGGUAAUGGCUCACCAAGACGAUGAUACGUAGCCGGCCUGAGAGGGUGAACGGCCACACUGGGACUGAGACACGGCCCAG
rnacentral:rRNA from 1 species